rnacentral:rRNA from 1 species
UACGGAGGGUGCAAACGUUGCUCGGAAUCAUUGGGCGUAAAGCGCACGUAGGCGGUCCGGUAAGUCGGAUGUGAAAUCCCUCGGCUCAACCGAGGAAGUGCAUUCGAAACUGCCAGACUUGAAUAUGGAAGAGGUCGCGAAUUCCGGUGUAGAGGUGAAAUUCGUAGAUAUCGGGAGGAACACCAGUGGCGAAGGCGGCGACCUGGG